rnacentral:rRNA from 1 species
UACGAAGGGGGCUAGCGUUGCUCGGAAUUACUGGGCGUAAAGCGCACGCAGGCGGCUUUCUAAGUCGGGGGUGAAAUCCUGGAGCUCAACUCCAGAACUGCCUUCGAUACUGGAGAGCUUGAGUCCGGGAGAGGUGAGUGGAACUGCGAGUGUAGAGGUGAAAUUCGUAGAUAUUCGCAAGAACACCAGUGGCGAAGGCGGCUCACUGGCCCGGUACUGACGCUGAGGUGCGAAAGCGUGGGGAGCAAACAGG